UACAGAGGUCUCAAGCGUUGUUCGGAUUCAUUGGGCGUAAAGGGCUCGUAGGUGGCCAACUAAGUCAGACGUGAAAUCCCUCAGCUUAACUGGGGAACUGCGUCUGAUACUGGAUGGCUUGGAUUCGGGAGAGGAAUGCGGAAUUCCAGGUGUAGCGGUGAAAUGCGUAGAUAUCUGGAGGAACACCGGUGGCGAAGGCGGCAUUCUGGACCGAUAUUGACGCUGAGGAGCGAAAGUGUGGGGAGCGAACAGG
rnacentral:rRNA from 1 species